rnacentral:rRNA from 1 species
AUGCUAAUAAAGAAAAUAUUAUCAGAGAUUACUUAAUGAUAUUUUUGCCACUUAUCUCUACUUUAGGUGAUUCAAAAGAUGCUAUCAAAGGGAAAACAUUAAAUAGUACCAGUAUCUCCGAAUUAUUAAUCCCUAUUUCUAAUCAUGAAGAGAUGAAAAGAAUCAUUUCCAAAGUUGAUUUACUUUUUCAAAAAGUUUCUCAACUUUUUGAGUAAUAAGUUCCUGUUCCUCAAAAGGAGCUAACGGAAUUAAUAGCUCGCUUAGUGUAGUUU